rnacentral:rRNA from 1 species
UAGGGAAUCUUCCACAAUGGACGCAAGUCUGAUGGAGCAACGCCGCGUGAGUGAAGAAGGUUUUCGGACCGUAAAGCUCUGUUGUUGGUGAAGAAGGAUAGAGGUAGUAACUGGCCUUUAUUUGACGGUAAUCAACCAGAAAGUCACGGCUAACUACGUGCCAGCAGCCGCGGUAAUCGUAGGUGGCAAGCGUUGUCCGGAUUUAUUGGGCGUAAAGCGAGCGCAGGCGGAAGAAUAAGUCUGAUGUGAAAGCCCUCGGCUUAACCGAGGAAUUGCAUCGGAAACUGUUUUUCUUGAGUGCAGAAGAGGAGAGUAGAACUCCAUGUGUAGCGGUGGAAUGCGUAGAUAUAUGGAAGAAUACCAGUGGCGAAGGCGGCUCUCUGGUCUGCAACUGACGCUGAGGCUCGAAAGCAUGGGUAGCGAACAGGAUUAGAUACCCUUGGUAGUCCAUGCCGUAAACGAUGAGUGCUAAGUGUUGG